rnacentral:rRNA from 1 species
UGGGGAAUAUUGGACAAUGGGCGCAAGCCUGAUCCAGCCAUGCCGCGUGAGUGAUGAAGGCCCUAGGGUUGUAAAGCUCUUUCACCGGUGAAGAUAAUGACGGUAACCGGAGAAGAAGCCCCGGCUAACUUCGUGCCAGCAGCCGCGGUAAUACGAAGGGGGCUAGCGUUGUUCGGAUUUACUGGGCGUAAAGCGCACGUAGGCGGACUAUUAAGUCAGGGGUGAAAUCCCGGGGCUCAACCCCGGAACUGCCUUUGAUACUGGUAGUCUUGAGUUCGAGAGAGGUGAGUGGAAUUCCGAGUGUAGAGGUGAAAUUCGUAGAUAUUCGGAGGAGCACCAGUGGCGAAGGCGGCUCACUGGCUCGAUACUGACGCUGAGGUGCGAAAGCGUGGGGAGCAAACAGG